UACGGCUACAUCAAAUUGAAACAGUGGUUCCCAUAUGAUCACCGAAUUUAAGCAACAUCGAACUUGGUCACUACCUAGAUGGGUAACCGCUUGGGAAUACCAGGUGCUGUAAG